rnacentral:tRNA from 1 species
UGCCCGAUGGUGGAAUUGGCAACACACCUGACUCUGAAUCAGAAGAUUCCAGGUUCGACCCCUGGUCGGGCAA